rnacentral:rRNA from 1 species
UACAGAGGGUGCAAGCGUUAAUCGGAAUUACUGGGCGUAAAGGGCGCGUAGGCGGUUAUAUAUGUGUGAUGUGAAAGCCCCGGGCUUAACCUGGGAAGUGCAUCGCAAACUGUAUAACUGGAGUACAAGAGAGGGUGGCGGAAUUUCCGGUGUAGCGGUGAAAUGCGUAGAGAUCGGAAGGAACGUCAAUGGCGAAGGCAGCCACCUGGCUUGAUACUGACGCUGAGGCGCGAAAGCGUGGGGAGCGAACAGG